GUGGGGAAUAUUGGACAAUGGGCGCAAGCCUGAUCCAGCCAUGCCGCGUGAGUGAUGAAGGCCUUAGGGUUGUAAAGCUCUUUCAGUGGGGACGAUAAUGACGGUACCCACAGAAGAAGCCCCGGCUAACUUCGUGCCAGCAGUCGCGGUAAUACGAAGGGGGCUAGCGUUGUUCGGAUUUACUGGGCGUAAAGCGCACGUAGGCGGAUCGUUAAGUCGGGGGUGAAAUCCUGGAGCUCAACUCCAGAACUGCCUUCGAUACUGGCGACCUUGAGUCCGGAAGAGGUGAGUGGAACUCCUAGUGUAGAGGUGGAAUUCGUAGAGAUUAGGAAGAACACCAGUGGCGAAGGCGGCUCACUGGUCCGGUACUGACGCUGAGGUGCGAAAGCGUGGGGAGCAAACAGGAUUAGAAACCCGUGUAGUCC
rnacentral:rRNA from 1 species